rnacentral:rRNA from 1 species
CACGUAGGGUGCAAGCGUUGUCCGGAAUUAUUGGGCGUAAAGAGCUCGUAGGCGGCUUGUCGCGUCGACUGUGAAAACUCGGGGCUCAACUCCGAGCUUGCAGUCGAUACGGGCAGGCUAGAGUUCGGUAGGGGAGACUGAAUUCCUGGUGUAGCGGUGAAAUGCGCAGAUAUCAGGAGGAACACCGGUAGCGAAGGCGGGUCUCUGGGCCGAUACUGACGCUGAGGAGCGAAAGCUGGGGAGCGAACAGG